UACGGGGGGGGCAAGCGUUGUUCGGAAUUACUGGGCGUAAAGGGCUCGUAGGCGGCCAACUAAGUCCGACGUGAAAUCCCCAGGCUUAACCUGGGAACUGCGUCGGAUACUGGAUGGCUUGAAUUCGGGAGAGGGAUGCAGAAUUCCAGGUGUAGCGGUGAAAUGCGUAGAUAUCUGGAGGAAUACCGGUGGCGAAGGCGGCAUCCUGGACCGACAUUGACGCUGAGGAGCGAAAGCGUGGGGAGCGAACAGG
rnacentral:rRNA from 1 species